rnacentral:rRNA from 1 species
CCUACGGGAGGCAGCAGUAGGGAAUAUUGGGCAAUGGAGGCAACUCUGACCCAGCCAUGCCGCGUGCAGGAAGAAGGCGUUAUGCGUUGUAAACUGCUUUUAUAUAGGAAGAAAUAGACCUUGCGAGGUAAGUUGACGGUACUAUAUGAAUAAGCACCGGCUAACUCCGUGCCAGCAGCCGCGGUAAUACGGAGGGUGCAAGCGUUGUCCGGAUUUAUUGGGUUUAAAGGGUGCGUAGGCGGUUUAUUAAGUCAGUGGUGAAAGACGGUCGCUCAACGAUUGCAGUGCCAUUGAUACUGGUAGACUUGAGUGGGAUUGAGGUAGCUGGAAUGGAUAGUGUAGCGGUGAAAUGCAUAGAUAUUAUCCAGAACACCAAUUGCGUAGGCAAGUUACUAAGUCUCAACUGACGCUGAGGCACGAAAGUGUGGGUAUCAAACAGGAUUAGAUACCCUGGUAGUCCACACUGUAAACGAUGAUAACUAACUGUUGGCUUUCGAGUCAGUGGUACAGAGAAAUCGUUAAGUUAUCCACCUGGGGAGUCGCCGGCAACGGUGAAACUCAAAUGAAUUGAGNGNGAGAGNGCGAGGACGACGACGAGGGAGGAGG